rnacentral:rRNA from 1 species
UACGUAGGUGGCGAGCGUUAUCCGGAAUUACUGGGUGUAAAGGGUGUGUAGGCGGGAAAGCAAGUCAGAAGUGAAAACUAUGGGCUCAACUCAUAGCCUGCUUUUGAAACUGCAUUUCUUGAGGACCGGAGGGGUAAACGGAAUUCCUGGUGUAGCGGUGAAAUGCGUAGAUAUCAGGAGGAACACCGGUGGCGAAGGCGGUUUACUGGACGGUUACUGACGCUGAGACACGAAAGUGUGGGGAG